AUCAAAUUACAUCUGGUAUCUACAUGUACAUGCAUGAUAAUUGCUGGUCACAGUAACAAAUUGUGAAUAUUAGUAGCCAUGAAUAUGUCACAACCUAUGGUAUUGCAGUUGUUUAUACUAGUUAUAAUGAGUAAAGUAAUAAACAAAUUUGCCCACCCUCCUUUGUAAUAGGAUACUGUAAUUAUAGUGGCCUUAGUGAGGGAUCUUUAUUGGGGAAAAUAUUCAUUAUUUAUCUUAUUAAUUAGCAGGUAUUGCCACACAAAUGGUGGAUAUGAAACGGGAAGGAGUCAUGAGCUUAUUUCCAGCAAAUAGUCAAUCAAUUUAAGAUUGGGCUCCUGUCCAGCAUUAAAAUAUGGAUACAGCUUAAAGCCUGUGACUGUUGCUACAAGCCUCCUGUAAUGAAUACAACAUUUCAAACUCCUCUCGUCAAAUUAUAUUUCUGUUAAAUAUAGAUCUAAUUUUGUUUUUAACAAAUAUUGUUUAUUUUACUUAUUUUCAAUAGUUUAGGAUGCUUCUUUUCAACUGCCUUGGAUGCACUUUCAGGAUUACCUAAAAAUU